UUCUAGUAGGUGGUAUCUUUGGUUAUCUAGCUGUAUGAGUGUGUCUGGCCGUCAUAAAGCUAGAUAACCGAAAGUACCAACGACUUCCA
rnacentral:pre_miRNA from 1 species